AGCUCACUUCCAACAGGGAAGAUGAAUUUGAGUCUUUUCCUGCUUCUAGGAUGGUAGAGAGCAGACUACAGCCUGAGAUCCAUCCCUAGAGUCAAGGAAACUUUUCUUUUGAGCUAUUGGCAACUUUUAAUGAUUAAGUAUACUUCUAUGAACAAAACUUGGAGCAUCUUUGUUUCUCUCUACUCAAUUUCUCCAGAAUUUGGAAACUAUCUGUGCAAAGAACUGAAUGUGUUGCAGUCCAUUGAAUUAAUCCAAAAUUCGUAUGUUGAAUUUCUCACCUUCAAUGGGAUGGUAUGAGAUGAUGGGGCCCUUGGGAAACAAUUAGAGUGAAGCCCUCAUGAAUGGGAUUAGUGGUCUUCUAAAAUGAACCUGAGAGAGUUCUUUCAUCUUCUUCCUGCCAUGUGAAGACAUAAAGAGAUGAUCAUCUAGGAACCAGGCCCUCACCAGACACAAAUGCCUGUGCCACUGACCUCGGAAGGAGAAGGAUCUGCAGAGCACGUUCUCAGGACAGCCACUCCUGAGGCUGGUGGGACUCGUGAUUGCUACUUGAAUUGGAAUAAUUAGAACGGACAUGAAAAAGGAAUGAAGACAUAUCCCUUCAAAUUUAAACCUACAACUUAAAAUGCAAUUUCAUGAGCACUGUGGGAGGCCUGAGUUUUUACUGCUGGAGCCAAUAGUGAAGAUCUAUCUGGAAAUGUGAUUACCUACAGUAAGCACAAUCACAGAUUUCGGUUGACAACUGGGAGGUCUCCUUCCUUCCUGCGAUCAUCAUCCUAACACUACAUUGAAAUGUGUGCUUCCAAAGGUCUUCACUGGUUGGAACCCAGAAAUAUCUUCACCUGCGUUUUAUUUGGUAGCAGGCUUAAUUUAAAUACAGCAGCCAGUGAAGACUUUCUGCUAUCAAAAUUAUUCAAAGCCUCUUCUAAAUGACUUCCUCCAAAAUACAGUGUUUAUCUAUCUGGUUGUUAAACACUUCAUUUAAACUUAAUGUUUAUUUCUCCCUAAAAAUAUGUCGGAUUGAGGAUUUCUGGGUCAGUAAUUUCUACAAGAUUUGAUAGAGUCACAAGUCCUGAUACUUCAUUAUUUCCCAAUGGAAACAUUUAUCAGGAAUAAUAUAAUAGAUUGUUAGUUGCCUCACUUUUUUUCUUGAAAUGAAAUGGGCAGAGCUUUGAAAAACUUAAGAAAAUUGUAGAGUUGGUUUUUCCUGUUUGUUUUUAACCUACCUCUUCUCUGCCUUUAACUCUGGGCAAUAAUGACUUUAGGUUAAGCUGCCUGAGCGCAGUAUUAACUUCCAGUUAUUCGUUCUUGGUUCUUCUUUUUUAUUUUGAGACAGAGUCUUGCUCUGCCAUCCAGGCUGGAGUGCUGUGGUGCGAUCUCGGCUCACUGCAACCUCCCAUGUUUAACCAAUUCUCCUGCCUCAGCCUCCAGAGUCAUUGGGAUUACAAGCGCCCACCACUGUGCCCAGCUAAUUUUUGUAUUUUUAGUAGAGUUGGGGUUUCAAUGUGUUGGCCAGGCUGGUCUUGAACGCCUGACCUUAAGUGAUCUGCUUGCCUCCACCUCCCAAAGUGCUGCAAUUACAAGCCUGAACCACCAUGCCUGGCCUAAUUCUUGUGCAAAAGCAACAUUUUAACAUCUUAGCAAUAGUCAAUAUCUACAUUCUUACAAAUCUGCCUUCUGGUAAACCAAGUAGCUAUAUCAAGGGCCCUGAAGCAGGACUGUGAAUUUGACUCCCAUACUUUCUUUUUCUGUUUUGUUUUUUUUUAAACGGUUAAAAACACAUAACAUGGGGCUGGGCGCGAUGGCUCAAGCCUGUAACCCCAGCACUUUGGGAGGCUGAGGUGGGUGGAUCACGAGGUCAAGAGAUCGAGACCAUCCUGGUCAGCAUGGUGAAACCCCGUCUCUACUAAAAAAAAAAAAAAAAAAAUUAGCUGGGCACGGUGGUGCGUGCCUGUAAUCCCAGCUACUCGGGAGGCUGAGGCAGGAGAAUUGCCUGAACCCAGGAGGCGGAGGUUGCGGUGAGCCGAGAUCCCAGGAGGCGGAGGUUGCGGUGAGCCGAGAUCGCGCCAUUGCACUCCAGCCUGGGUAACAAGAGCGAAACUCCGUCUCCAAAAAAAAAAAAAACCCCACAUAACAUUAAAUUUGCCAUCUUAACCAUUUGUAAGUAUACAAUUCAGUAGUGUUAAGUAUAUUCACAUUGUUGUACAACACAUGUCUGGAACGUUUUCAUCUUGCAGCACUGAAACUCUAUACGCAUUAGACACAAAUUCCCCCUCCCCUCUCCAGCCCUUGGUAACUACCGUUCUACUGUCUGUUUCUAAGAUUUUUGACUACUUUGUUUGUUUUGUUUUGAGAUGGGAGUCUUGCUGUGUUGCCCAGGCUGGAGUGCAGUGGUGCAAUCUCAGCUCAUUGCAACCUCCGAAUCCCAGGUUCAAGAAAUUCUCCUGCCUCAGCCUCCCAAGUAGCUGGGAUUACAGGCGUGAACCACUGUACCUGGCCUUGAUUUUGACUACUUUGGAUACUUCAUAAAUGGAAUCAUACAAUAUUUGUCCUUUUGUGACUAGUUUAUUUUGCUUAGCCUAUGUCCUCAAGCUUUGUCCAUGUCCCCACACUUUCUUUUUCACCACUCUUUGGUAGAAAACCACUGGGUGACCUGGGUCCAUUCCCCUCUGCUGGAGGCAUAAACUAGGAAUGGCUUUGAUGUUGCUCACAAUUGGGCUUUUCACCGAAGCAUUUUGCAGCUUUUUCUAUCUCUGUCAUGAGUGAUUGGUAAAAAUUUCUUUGAAAAUCUUCCCAUGCUAAGUCACCUCAUUCACACUCUAGAAUGAAAAACUAGGGGGACUCGAAUUUGUUCACUUAUUGAAGGCCCAGACGAGGCCCUUAAGAAUGAUCAUCCCUUGAUUAUAGAAACUCUCUCAAUAUACCUUUGAAAUAAGGAGGGUAUGGCAGAUUGUAUUUUACAAAAAAUGGCUGCAACAGCAUUUCUAGCCCUACAUGCUCUUCUUAACCCUGCCACUUCCCCAUCAACACUUGGAAUUACAUCACCUUUCCUUGAACCUGGGCAGACAUUAGUGCUUGCCUCAAUGAACAGAAUGUAGUAUAAGCGCAUAACUGCCAAGGAUAGGUCAUAAAAGAUAAUAUAACUUUUAGAUGAUUCUCUCUCUCUCUCUCUCUUUAUCUCUCUUGGACAUGAGCCUGUAGAGUGCCUAGUCACCUUGUAAGAAGUCCAGCUAUCCUAAAGUCAGACUGCUGGAGAGACCAUGUGCAAAGACUACAUAGAAAUGGAGUUGUCCAAGGAGCCAGUUCCAGCCCCCAGCUGAUUGAGUCUUUCUAGCCUGGCAGCAGACAUGUGAGUGAGCAAGCCUUCAGAUGAUGCCAGCUGUAGCCAUUGUCUGACUGUAACUUCAUGAGAAAAGCUGAGCAAGAACUGCCUAGCUGAGCCCAGUCAACCCCACAACCAUGAAAGAUAAUAAUAACGACCAUUGUUGUUUAAGCCACUAGGUUUUAGGGUGGUUUCCUCGGCAGCAAUAGAUAUUGGGAGCAGAGUGCUAGUCAUCCAUUUAUCCUAAAGAAGGUUAGAUGACUCUUGCUUCAUAAAACUUUGUUGUAUUAGUCUGUCUUUCCACUGCUGAUAAAGACAUACCAGAGACUGAGUAAUUUACAAAGAAAAAGAGGUUUAAUGGACCAACAGUUCCAUGUGGCUGGGGAGGCCUCACAAUCACGGCAGGAAGGCGAAAAGGAACAUCUUACAUGGCAGCAGGCAAAAAGAGAAUGAGAGCCAAGCAAAAGGGGAUUUCCCCUUAUAAAACCAUCAGAUCUCAUGAGACUUAUUCACUACCAUGAGAACAGUAUAGGGGAAACCAUCCCCAUGAUUCAAUUAUCUUCUACCACUCAAAAACAAAGGCAUUACAGGAGCUAUGAGAUGAGAUUUGGGUGGGGACACAGCCAAUCCAUAUCACUUGUAAAAAGUCUUGUUUGUUAACUAAGGUAUACACUACCACCUUAAAGCAACAACAUAGAAUAACCACCCUUCAGGCCUUGAUAGAGAAUAUAAACUACAAUGAUCUGCUCACAACCCUAAUUAAAGGUUGAUAUGGUUUGGCUGUGACCCCACCCAAAUCUCAUCUUAAAUUGUAGUUCCCACCUGGUCCCCACAGGUCAUGUAAGGGACCAGGUGGAGAUAAUUGAAUCACAGAGGUGGUUUCCCACAUCCUAUUCUCAUGAUAAUGAGUAAGUUCUCACCAGACCUGAUGGUUUUAUAAGAAGUUUCCCCCUUCACCGGAUGCUCAUUCUUCUCCUAGCUGCUGCCAUGUAAAGAAAGAUGUGUUUGCUUCCCCUUAUGCCAUGAUUGUAAGUUUCCUGAGGUCUCGCCAGCCAUGCUGAACUCUGAGUCAAUUAAACCUCUUUCCUUUAUAAAUUUCCUUUAUAAGUUUCUAUGAUUCUUUAUAGGAAUCCCAGGUAUUUUUUUAUAGCACUUUGGGAAGGAAGCAAUACAAAGAUCUCAUUAAGCAGGUGAUCUCACUGGAGAAGUGUUUGAGGAACUUGUACUUCUUUGGAUUUUCUAGAUGUAUUCUUUGAUUUAAUGACAAUUUUAGAAAGUUUCAGUCUCAAGCCAUAUUUCCUUGGUCUGUGAUAGAAUUGCUCUAAGUGAGUUGGGCUGUAGGUUAUGCUGCAGGUUUGAUGUUAUAAGACAGCUUUAGGAAAGCUUUGUUGCAUUUGCUAUGGGAUAUUCUUAUAAAUAUCAUUGAGGACACUGUUCACCACAUCUCUCAAUGUUCAUGAUAUAAAACUCCAUAUAGAAAUUUCUUUCAUAGCUAAAUUCCAAUAAAAGCUAAAGAAACUAAGGCCGGGAAGAGCGGCUUAUGACUGUAAUCCCAGAACUUUGGGAGGCCGAGGUGGGUGGAUCCCCUGAGAUCAGGAAUUUGAGACCAGCCUGGCCAACAUGGCGAAACCUUGUCUCUACUAAAAAUCUGAAAAUUAGUCAGGUGUGGUGGUGAGUGCCUGUAAUCCCAGCUACCUGGGAGGCUGAGGCAGAAGAAUUGCUUGAACCCAGGAAGCAGAGGUUGCAGUGAGCUGAGCAAGACAGAGUAAGACUUUAUCUAAAAAACAAAAAAAAACCUUGGGAAACUAGAGUGUUUUGCUCUGUAGUCAAGAGAAUCACAAUUAGCCUUCAUUUUUGUUUUUGCAGCAGAAAACUCAAAUCCAAAUCUGUGGCUCAGCUUAGAAAAUUAUGUGGAGCCCUAUUGCUUGUGUGUCAUUUCAUUUCACUGACUUUUUUUUUCCCUAAUGUAUGUUUCUAUGAUUCUUUAUUAUUUAUAUUUUGUAUUUGAUCAAUGUAUUAUUGUAAGCUUUUUCAAAUCCGUUUUAAAAGAGAACAUGAUACUAAUUUUUUUUUUUAAUACAGAAUCUUACUGUUACCCAGGCUGGACUGCCGUGGUGCAAUCACAGCUUACCUCAGCCUUGACCUCUUGGGCUCCAGCAUUCCUCGCACCUCAGUCUCCUAUGUAGCUGGGACCAUAGGCAAGUGCCACCAUGCCCAGCUUAUCUUUUAAUUUUCUGUAGAGAUGGGGUCUCCCUGUGUUACCCAGGCUGGUCUUGAACUCCUGGGCUCAUGUGAUCUUCCUGCCUUAGCCUCUCAAAUUGUUGGGAUUACAGGCAUGAACCACCAUAUAAAUAAGUAAAUUAUCCUUGUGAGACCUCAGAAAAUUAUAGGCCUCCCACAGGUCUGAUUUAAUGAUUCAUUCAUUUACUUUUAAAUUUCGAUUAAGGCUGGGUAUGGCAGCUCACGUCUGUAAUCCCAGCCCUUUGGGAGGCUGAGGCGGGUGUAUCCCCUGAGGUCAGCAGUUCGAGACCAGCUGGCCAACAUGAUGAAAUCCUGUCUCUACUAAAAAUAUAAAAAAUUAGCUGGGCAUGGUGGCAGGUGCCUAUAAUCCCAGCUACUCAGGAGGCUGAGGCAGGAGAAUCACUUGAACCUGAGAGUCAGAGGUUGCAAUGAGCUGAGAUCAGGCCACUGCACUAUAGCCUGGGCAGCAAGAAUGAAACUCCAUCUCAAAAAAAAAAAAAAAAAAUAUAUAUAUAUAUAUGGAUUAUGCAUCUACUUUCAACCAGGCAUUAUACUAGAAAAUGUCACAGCUGAAAAUAUUUUUUUAAAACACAGAGUUUUUGCCCUCAGAGAAACAGGAAUGUCUGAAGGUGGUCCAGAAAUGUAGUGCUCAGUAGCAGCAGGUAGUAAUUUCAAAUAGUGACAUCUUUGAGGUCCCAUAGACAUCAUAAAACCAAAUCUCUUAAUCCUUUUCAUGAAUAAGCUGGGAGGAGUAAGUGGGGAGUGGAUAUUAGAUGAAUAUGAUCUUUAGAUUCCUGGCAGAAACUUCAACAGGCUGCUAUCUCAAAUACUCUUUCCAGUUUUAGAGAAAUUGUUGAACUUGUCCCUUAGACCUGAAUCUCCAUUUCUACAGUGACCAAUUUGUUUAUCUUCUGCGAGGCCAACACUUGUAACUCUCUGCUUUGUGACCUGGCUGCUAGUUCUACUUCCAUAUUGAUUCUCUGAUUCCUACACAGGUCUUCGGUAGUCUUUUUUUUUUUUGAGACGGAGUUUUACUCUUGUUACCCAGGCUGGAGUGCAAUGGCGCGAUCUCGGCUCACUGCAACCUCUGCCUCCUGGGUUCAGGCAAUUCUCCUGCCUCAGCCUCCUGAGUAGCUGGGAUUACAGGCACACGCCACCAUGCCCAGCUAAUUUUUUUGUAUUUUUUUCGUAGAGAUGGGGUUUCACCAUGUUGACCAGGAUGGUCUUGAUCUCUUGACCUCGUGAUCCACCCGCCUCAGCCUCCCAAAGUGCUGGGAUUACAGGCGCCCAGUCCUUCUGUAGUCUUAAUAUGUCCCAGUUAGGUUAACUUUUACAAAGCCUGUCUCUUAGGACACACCAAGGUCCUCCAAACCUGGGAACUCUCAGUUUCUCCUCUUGCCAAUGGUAACAAUAAAUCUAAUCUUCUUUGUCAACCUUAAGCCUUGGAUUUCUGGCCCACGUCAUUACUGCUGAUGGUGUUUCUGUGAAAGUUUCUACUGUCCUUUGGAUUCUGUACUCUUGUCUUUUGGAGUUCUUCCUAUUAAGAUAUCUUGCCCUUUUUCUAAAAGAGCUUUUUGUUACCCACACUGCAACAUUCCUGGAAAAUGUGUUUAUUAAGUCCAUUAUUCUAAAAUCUAGAUUCUAAAGAAUAUGCUUGAUUUGCUAAUGUUCAUACUUUGUAAUUAAAUAAAAAAAUCCCUUUUGGCUUCUCUAAAUGCUGGGUUCCAGGUACUUGUAACAAAAUGCAAAUAAGCCUGCUCUUCUGUAGGCCCUUGUCUGCGGAGUUUUAAUAAACUAUACUACUAUGAGCUGAA